CCUACGGGAGGCAGCAGUGGGGAAUAUUGGACAAUGGGGGGAACCCUGAUCCAGCCAUGCCGCGUGUGUGAAGAAGGCCCUCGGGUUGUAAAGCACUUUCAGUGAGGAAGAACGCCUGGUGGUUAAUACCCAUCAGGAAAGACAUCACUCACAGCAGAAGCACCGGCUAACUCCGUGCCAGCAGCCGCGUUAAUACGGAGGGUGCGAGCGUUAAUCGGAAUUACUGGGCGUAAAGCGCGCGUAGGUGGCUUGAUAAGCCGGUUGUGAAAGCCCCGGGCUCAACCUGGUAACGGCAUCCGGAACUGUCAAGCUAGAGUGCAGGAGAGGAAGGUGGAAUUCCCGGUGUAGCGGUGAAAUGCGUAGAGAUCGGGAGGAAUACCAGUGGCGAAGGCGGCCUACUGGACUGACACUGACACUGAGGUGCGAAAGCGUGGGUAGCAAACAGGAUUAGAUACCCGAGUAGUC
rnacentral:rRNA from 1 species